rnacentral:rRNA from 2 species
GACGAACGCUAGCGGCGUGCCUAAUACAUGCAAGUCGAACGAACUCUGGUAUUGAUUGGUGCUUGCAUCAUGAUUUACAUUUGAGUGAGUGGCGAACUGGUGAGUAACACGUGGGAAACCUGCCCAGAAGCGGGGGAUAACACCUGGAAACAGAUGCUAAUACCGCAUAACAACUUGGACCGCAUGGUCCGAGUUUGAAAGAUGGCUUCGGCUAUCACUUUUGGAUGGUCCCGCGGCGUAUUAGCUAGAUGGUGGGGUAACGGCUCACCAUGGCAAUGAUACGUAGCCGACCUGAGAGGGUAAUCGGCCACAUUGGGACUGAGACACGGCCCAAACUCCUACGGGAGGCAGCAGUAGGGAAUCUUCCACAAUGGACGAAAGUCUGAUGGAGCAACGCCGCGUGAGUGAAGAAGGGUUUCGGCUCGUAAAACUCUGUUGUUAAAGAAGAACAUAUCUGAGAGUAACUGUUCAGGUAUUGACGGUAUUUAACCAGAAAGCCACGGCUAACUACGUGCCAGCAGCCGCGGUAAUACGUAGGUGGCAAGCGUUGUCCGGAUUUAUUGGGCGUAAAGCGAGCGCAGGCGGUUUUUUAAGUCUGAUGUGAAAGCCUUCGGCUCAACCGAAGAAGUGCAUCGGAAACUGGGAAACUUGAGUGCAGAAGAGGACAGUGGAACUCCAUGUGUAGCGGUGAAAUGCGUAGAUAUAUGGAAGAACACCAGUGGCGAAGGCGGCUGUCUGGUCUGUAACUGACGCUGAGGCUCGAAAGUAUGGGUAGCAAACAGGAUUAGAUACCCUGGUAGUCCAUACCGUAAACGAUGAAUGCUAAGUGUUGGAGGGUUUCCGCCCUUCAGUGCUGCAGCUAACGCAUUAAGCAUUCCGCCUGGGGAGUACGGCCGCAAGGCUGAAACUCAAAGGAAUUGACGGGGGCCCGCACAAGCGGUGGAGCAUGUGGUUUAAUUCGAAGCUACGCGAAGAACCUUACCAGGUCUUGACAUACUAUGCAAAUCUAAGAGAUUAGACGUUCCCUUCGGGGACAUGGAUACAGGUGGUGCAUGGUUGUCGUCAGCUCGUGUCGUGAGAUGUUGGGUUAAGUCCCGCAACGAGCGCAACCCUUAUUAUCAGUUGCCAGCAUUAAGUUGGGCACUCUGGUGAGACUGCCGGUGACAAACCGGAGGAAGGUGGGGAUGACGUCAAAUCAUCAUGCCCCUUAUGACCUGGGCUACACACGUGCUACAAUGGAUGGUACAACGAGUUGCGAACUCGCGAGAGUAAGCUAAUCUCUUAAAGCCAUUCUCAGUUCGGAUCGUAGGCUGCAACUCGCCUACAUGAAGUCGGAAUCGCUAGUAAUCGCGGAUCAGCAUGCCGCGGUGAAUACGUUCCCGGGCCUUGUACACACCGCCCGUCACACCAUGAGAGUUUGUAACACCCAAAGUCGGUGGGGUAACCUUUUAGGAACCAGCCGCCUAAGGUGGGACAGAUGAUUAGGGUG